CCCUAAAGCCCCAAACUCAACCUUUUCCCUCAUAUCUCUCUGCGUCCUUUCAAAAAAAAAAAGAAUAUCUCUGCGCUCCUCCAGACUGACGACAACCCUUCACUGUCCAACCUUUCACCAGACCGACGACGAACCCCAUGAAACCUCGCUGCUCCCUCUCCACCCUAUUGCCCAAGUUUUGGGCUCUUUCGUCUCCCAUCCUCACAACAAUCGCAUCACCGGGAUCUUCAACGACCAGCGACAGUCAUUCUCUCAGCCUCACAGCGGCCGCAUCAAACCAUCUCUCGACCUCUCUCUCUCUCUUUCACAGUCUCAACAACUCCUUCUAGUCAUCUUUCUCUUGGUAACACUGACCUGCAAAUUUUAAUCUCACUAUUACAGAUAUCAAUAAAUGAUGAAAUUAACCAACUCUUUCUCCUGUUCUCUCUCUGCAAUGCACGACAGUGCUACUCCGGUCACUGUAGGCAAAAAUGGAAGUUGUGGGUGGGUCUCGUCGAGUUCUGAAGGCCAAUACCCUUGAGCCACGAAGCCACCACCAUUGUUCCACCUCCGUAAAGAAGUGCACUAGAGCUGCGUGUGCACGCCCGAUUGCUUCUGUGAAGAAGCGCCUUGAGCUGAUCUAAAAAUUCUAUGGAAAUUUAAGUAUUUGUUUUUCUAUUUUGAUUAUGUAUCUAUAUAUUUUUUUUAUUGUUGUUUUAAUUAUAAUUUUACAAAAUGGUUUGAGGUACCUAAAUAAAUUAUUAAUUUUUGUGUAUGUAUUUUUUCUAAAAAUAAAAUUAUAAAAGUUAUUUUGAGAAAAUUAUAUUAUUUUUUUUAGAAAGAUAUUUAAUAUGGCACUUUUUGUUUGUCACUAUACCUCUAAAAAUAAUAAUAAAGAAUAAAAAAAAAGAUAUAGUGACACUUUUUGUAUGUAGCUGUUACUUUUUCAGUCUGACAAAAUUUGACUUUAAAUGCCUAUAGUGACACGCAGUGAGUGACUGUAAAAGGGUUAAGUGACACGCGUGAAGUGUCACUAAAAAUUGUCUUUUCCAGUCACUCACAUUAGUGACGCGUGGUGAAGUGUCACUAAAUAAUUUUAGAGUCACUCAAUGUGUAUCACUGAAACCCAUUUUUCUAGUAUCGAAAGGCAUCGCUACGAAUCGCUAGUAGUUGUAAAAUUUCAUUCUCUCCUUCACCAAACACUAUUUCUAAAACUAUCAUCACAUAUUAUGAACAAUAUCACGAGACAUUGCAAAAAUUGUAAAUGGGUAACAAUCUUUCCUAGUGUUGUAAGUUUCAUCGCAACAUGUCACUACAUGACGUUAAAAGUCAUUCCUAACCUUCACUACCAACUAAUAUCGCUAUAUAUCGAUAAUGACGUCGCUGAAAAUGGCAAAAACUUGAAAAAAAAAACUAAAAAAUGUAGAAACCGAGUAGUUUAAAUUUCAGCAACAAAACAACUAAAAUAAAAAAAAUGACAUGUGUAGAUCUAUUCAUAUCAACCUAAAUACAAAUAAAUACAACUAAAUCUAAUAAUAAUUACCAAAUAAAUUACAUGUCUAUUAUUUUUUUCAAAAAUUAUGUUGGUAAGAGAGUUUGGGUUGCUCUUACACACUUGGUUGUCAAGUAAAAUUGAUGGACUUCAGCAUAGAGUGCUCCGAAAUUCGAUCUGGCAAGGGUGUGUGUGUGUGACUCUGUAGAGAGAGAGAGGAAAGAUAGGAGAAGGGGUUUAAUUUUAUUAUUUGAAGAGGUAAAUAUUAUACUAAAAAAUAGAUGUAAUUAACAUAUUUGUCUAAUGUUUAAGAGGGUAGAAUAUAAUAACAAUCAAGCAUGCAUAGUUUUAGGAAGGCAACAAACUCAUAACAUAUUGAUCGUACAUCCAAAUCAGCAAUAUUGAUAAACACUAAAACAAAUAAGGCCACAUUUAAGGUGUACAAAAGACACAUUUACUCGGCAAUAAAACAAACAAGUUAAUUAAUAAUCCAUCAUUAUAGAAAUGCUAAUUAAUUAAGGGACACUCUAAGGUACGAAGCAACACUGCUAACUACUCACAACAUGGUACAUCAAUAAAGUAUUGGGUAGCUUAAAAUGUUUAAUAAAAAUUCUGUUCAUAUAAUAAGCCUGUAUAAUUUUGUGUUUUUAAGUAGUUUAUUGGGUCCCUCCUUGAUCAACUCCCAGGCGGUAAUGACAUGUCACUCUUCCGUAAGAGUGGUUCCAUUCCCACAGAAAAUCUCAACACAUAUAUCCCACCCACUAUAGUAUGCGACACAUAAAUCUUUCCAGACGAGUUUACCCAAUGUAGAAGCCUUCGGUUCAACAACUCGAUAUAACCAGCUGAAUUAUCAUCCGGAUUAGGGUUUAGUCUAAAACACACCAGCCCGAACAACUGCAUGUCUUGGCACCACGACCUCAAAUCUUGAACGGGAUCGAACGAGCUGACUCACUGAGUAUGAACCCCCACAAGAUGUAUAAAUAUUAAUUUCUAAAAAAACGUCUUGCUAAAUAUUUAAAUUAAAAAUUAGUUGUUUUAAGAAAAUAGUUAAUUAAUUGUAAUUAGUUUAAUUCUAAAAAAUAAUCUUUACCUAUUGACAACCUACUAUUACAGGUAAAAAAAAAUAUAACCAUUAUAAUAAAAAUGUAACCAUUGAGUAGUCACCCUAUAUUAUAUAUAUAUAAAGAUAAAUUAGAUAAAAAUAAGGGAAAUUUACACCCUAUAUUGUAAUUAUCAAUUUAUUUCUUUUUAUACUAUUACACGGUACAAUUAACUUUUAUACUAUAUAUGUUUUAUAUUAUUUUUCUUGUAUUUAUUUGAAAACUUUAAUUUUUUACUAUCUUCAGUAAUCACAUCAGUGACAUUGAGUCUUUUUUUUUUCUAAGCUAAAUUCACGUUACCCCAUGCCAAAUCCAUUUAUCUUCUUCAUCUUUAAAAUAUAGUCACAUGCUAGCGUUUCUGAUAUAAUUUUUUUUUUUAUAAAAACUAAUGAUGAAAGUGAUAGGUUGUCUUGUCUCUUGUGACAAUUUUUUUUUAUUAAACUAAUGAUGAAAUGAAAGUGAUGGAUUGUCUUGUCACUUGUGACAAUUUUUUUUAUUAAAACUAAUGAUGAAAUUCUUAAAAAAAUUUCUCCUACACAUUUUUUUCAAAUAAAAGUUUCUCUUCUCUCUCAAUACCCCUCUUCUUUUGUAAUAGGCAUCGAAAAAAUAAAAAUAUGAGUAUGUGAAGGAGGAAGAAGAAGAAGAAGAAGAAUAGAAUUGGGAAAGAUAAGAAUUUUGUUCUCCCUCCAACUUACUCUCUAAAAUUCAACAAUUUCAGCUCUAUCUACUCUUCUCUCUCAAUACCCUUUUCUCUCUUCUCUCUCUCAUCAUCCUUCCCCUUUUCUUCUCUCUCUCUCUCUCUCUCUCUCUCUCUCUCUCUCUCUCUCUCUCUCUCUAUCACACACACACACACACAUCAUUCUCGGCAAUAUGUAGUUUUCCUAUAUUCAUGUUCUUUAGUUCUUCAUGUCGUUUCUGUUGAAUUAUUUAGGAUUAAAUAUAUAUAUUUAUGUUACUGGUUUGUUUUGUUAUUGUUUUAAGGUUGUUUUAUUUCAUUUAUUUAUCACAUUUUCUAAAUAUUAUUGUAGUGCUCUAUUUUUAAUAGAAAUAGAAAAAUAAUGAAAUUUGUAUGCAAGCUAUUUUCUUCAGUAUCCUAUGCUCCAAUAUAUGUUCAGUUUUCCUCCAUUGUUCCACUGUUAUUUUUUAGUUGUUCUGAUUCUUUUUAUUUUUGACGCCUUCUCUUGCAUGUUCUCUUAUUGUGUCUCAGCUCCCACAUUUGUUGUAUUUGUUAUGUUGUUUCUUUUUUCAGCCAGCUUUGAUCCUCUUUUUUUUUUGUUUGGUCUUCGGCCAAAUUUUAAUCAUUCAAGGGGAGGUAAGACUAUUACAUCUUUCACAUUUUGUGCUACAUCCUACUCAUUUUAGUGUCCGUACACUGUUCCUUAAUAAGUUGCUAGCCAAUUUUUCUUGGUGUAGUAAUCUGAACAGAGCUUGUGUAGUAACAGGUUGCACGUGUGUGUUCUCUCUUUGAGGUCUAUUGUCCAAGAUUAUUUCAUUCUAAUUAGCUUAAACAAAUAUUCAGUGGUUGGCUUAACCUGUGUAAUUUAAAACCAACAUUUGUUAAACAUACGAGACAAAAGUGGAAUAACCCAAAAACAACAUUAGAAAAACCAUGACAACCUAGUAUUAAUGAUUUUAAUCACUACUACAAAACAAGCCUUUAGAGGCGCUUUUUUCAACAUAAUAAUAAAUAACCGACGACAUAGGGUUGAAAAUUUGUAGAAGAGAAUUUUAUGCCACGCCAUAGGGUGUGCCCCCUAUGCCGUCAGUUAUUUCCAAAUAACCGACGCCGAAAGGGUUUAUAACCCUAGCCCAGCCCUUCGUCCUCCUCAUUCCAUCAGCCAACCCAGAAACCCCCAAACCAGAGAAACCCCAAACCCUCUCCGUCAACCACCAUAAAAAAUCACCCCCAUUUCACCAUUUUUUUCACCAUUUUAGCUCAUUUUUGUUUCUAAAUCUUCUAUUUUUCAUACCUAAAACUAUAUACCUGAAAAGAUCAUAUUUUUCCUCAUUUUUUAGGGUAAACCGAAGGUAGAGGUAGUGGUUGUGGUGGUUAUACCUCCGGCCACCGUUUUUAGUGGAGAAAAUAUUGUAUCUCAACGUCUAUUAAGAUUGUGAGGUCAAUUUGCAAGGAUUUGACUUAUUUGGUGUUGAUCGGUUUUUAAGUAGCUCGAGGAUUUUAUCGGAAGUGACUUUGUCGGAAGUCAAGUACAUAAUUUUUGGUACAAGGUAUGCUUUCUUUAACUUACUUUUAUAAAAAUAUUUUUUUAUAUAUUUAGAUAAUCCUUAAAUACUUAGAGUAAUUUUAGAAUAAUAUUGAUGUAAUACAUAUGAUAGAUAUUGUUGAGUGCUAAGGAUAGAUAUAGUAGGCUAAAAAAAAAAGAAAUACAAAAAAUGGUCUAUUGGGAUUUGAACUUGUGACCAAAAGGAUAGAUUGAUAAGUCUUUACCAAUAUACCAAAACACAAUCUUUAUAUAAAUUAGCUACUAUAUAUGAUUUUAUUUAAAUAUUAGAAGAGUUAUAAAAAGAAAUUAGUAUUGCACAUUUCAUUGUAGUAGAAUUAACAAAUACAUCAUAAACAUUGAUUCUAAUACUUAACAUUAGAAUUUUAUUAGUUUAUUUUAAGUAAAAUAGCAAAAUAAAACACAAAAAAUUGGGUGAAAGGGGUGCAUAACAUGAUUUUAGUAUACAAAAGAGCGUUUUUUGGACAAAAUAGUUGGUCAAACUGCCGCAGGCGUUUGGGAUGCGUAGAACGCGAAAAAAUAUCCAAGUUCAAAAAGAAAGGCAUCGCUCCAAACAGACAAUCGAAUCAAAAGUUAUUAAUGUUCAAAGUUUUCAAAAAAUUUCAUGCAAAGUUUAGCCCUUUCUCUAAUUUUUUCCAUUUAUUCUGGUCCUUAAAUUAUUGUUUCAUUUUAUUGGUCAUGAAAAAUUUAAAUGUAUAAAAAUAUAAAAUUACAUAAAAAUUAAAGUAUUACAUUAAUAUACUAAUUAUUAUACAAAACACAACUUAAAAAUUAUAAAAAUGAUACUAAUAUAGUAUAAAAAUACAAACACAUAAUGUAAAAUAUAAAAUAUUAAUAAAAAGAUAGCUAAUAUACAAACACUUAGAUUAAUGUAAAUGUGUAUUUAUUUAACUUUUCAAUUUAAUUUUUAUUUAUGCUUAUUAUAUAUAAUUUAUACUUAAUUUAAUUAUAUUAAUAAUAAAAUAAUAUAUAUAUAUAAAAAUUAUAAAAUUGUAAAGCUGAAAAAAAAAAACCAAGACCCUACGA